AUCUCAUUACGAUCACCGAAGUUAAGCAGCGUAGACCCAGGUCAGUACUUAGAUGGGGACCGCUUGGGAACACCUGGUACUGUAAGC